UACCACUGAGCUGCUGCCUUUCCCCACACAGAACAGCUCUGCAGAAGAUAGCUGGAUGCUGGUGGCCCUACAUGACCUCCAGGCAUGCACAUCCAAGGCCUGACUUGCGAGAAGCCACCCUACACAGCAGCAAGUCUAUACUGAAUUGCUCUCAUUGUGCAAGGAGCUCGAACCCACUCCCAGCGCCUUGAGCAGUGCUGCCCUUGUGAUGCAAAGGACACAGAACUGAUAGAAGCACCUAUAAAAAACAGGAGCAGUUGGAGACACGCAUCAGAUGCUGUGCACCUUCAAAAUGCCUGCUUUAUGGAGGGCCCUGGAAUGCCUGUAAAUUGUUAGCAUGAUUAUCAUCAAAUAAUUUAUACCUGUGCAAUGACUUCCAGCAAAGACUGUAAAAAUGCUCUGGCAUUAAGAGAAGGCUCUCAGUGUCUUCUGAGCAAAGAACUAUUUCUGGUCGUGACCCUCUGGUGGGGUUUUUUUUCUCUUGUCUUGCUUGGUUCAAUUCUCUGUCUCUCUUCCCCCUCCCCCCCCCAAGUAUUUUAUUAGUAUGAUUAUUGCUGUUAUUACAGUAAAAAACACAAAAGCCUGAUUUAUAGUUGAGAUCUCCUCUAUUGUACCUGUGACUAUUAAUGUCCUAGAAGAGAGUAGAAGAGUAUAACCUCUUCUUUUUAUUUGCUGUAUGUAAGCCAGGGUCAUGGAAAAGCAGGACUCAGGUAUAGAUCUGAGAUAUAGAUCUGAUUUUUCUCUCAUCUUUCCUUUUGUUGUUUUUUUUUCCUCCUGCUAAAAGUGAUUGUUUAAAAAGAAAGAUGACAAAGUUGAAUGAUACUCAAAGAUACUGAGAAAUUGACUCACCUGAUACACUGUGAGAA